rnacentral:rRNA from 1 species
AUUGAACGCUGGCGGCAUGCCUUACACAUGCAAGUCGAACGGUAACAGGUCUUCGGAUGCUGACGAGUGGCGAACGGGUGAGUAAUACAUUGGAACGUGCCCGAUCGUGGGGGAUAACGCAGCGAAAGCUGUGCUAAUACCGCAUACGAUCUACGGAUGAAAGCGGGGGAUCGCAAGACCUCGCGCGGACGGAGCGGCCGAUGGCAGAUUAGGUAGUUGGUGGGAUAAAAGCUUACCAAGCCGACGAUCUGUAGCUGGUCUGAGAGGACGACCAGCCACACUGGGACUGAGACACGGCCCAGACUCCUACGGGAGGCAGCAGUGGGGAAUUUUGGACAAUGGGCGCAAGCCUGAUCCAGCCAUGCCGCGUGCAGGAUGAAGGCCUUCGGGUUGUAAACUGCUUUUGUACGGAACGAAAAAGUUCUCUCUAAUACAGGGGGCGAAUGACGGUACCGUAAGAAUAAGCACCGGCUAACUACGUGCCAGCAGCCGCCGUAACAC